rnacentral:rRNA from 1 species
AUUGAACGCUGGCGGCAGGCCUAACACAUGCAAGUCGAACGAGUGGCGGACGGGUGAGUAAUGUCUGGAAACCUGCCUGAUGGAGGGGGAUAACUACUGGAAACGGUAGCUACUACCGCAUACCAUCAGAUGUGCCCAGACGGGAUUAGCUAGUUGGUGGGGUAACGGCGCACCAAGGCGAAGAUACCCAGCUGGUCUGAGAGGAUGACCAGCCACACUGGAACUGAGACACGGUCCAGACUCCUACGGGAGGCAGCAGUGGGGAAUAGUGGACAAUGGGCGAAAGCCUGAUGGAGCCAUGCCGCGUUGAUGAAGAAGGCCGUCGGGUGGUAAAGUACGUUCAGCGGAGAAGCGUUACCCGCAGAGGAAGAACCGGCUAACUCCGUGCCAGCAGCGGCGGUAAUUC